UUUGUCUUCUCCCUUCCCCUCCCCUCCGAUUCCUUCCGGCAGCUGACUCUUAACCCCUUCGUGGCUUGAGGGUUCGCCUGCAGGCCUCACCCUUAGGCAGAACAGACUAUGAGAGGUGCCCCCCAAGUGCCCUGGGGCCCAAACUCCUGUCUCGCAGCCUGAAACUCUGCUCCACUAACCUCUCUUGGGGCCUGAAUAUUUUUUAUCAUCUGGUGUUUCCUCAUAAAAUUAUGCAAGUACCCUUGGGAAGGGAAAUGACUUAAGCUUUUCUUGUAUCGGCUCACAGACUCUGAGGAAUGGGCACAGGUCAAGGCUUUGGAGGAGAGAAGGUGGACUGGAGACCAAGAAAGCCGACUUCUGGUGAAAAGAAGAAGAUUGAAGAUUCCCCCAAAUUCCCUAGCAUGGAGCGAAGGAGUGAAAAAAAAAAAGCAUAAAUCCACAAGGACCAACUCGAUGGAGGAGAACUCAUUGGCGAGAGUACGUGACUUUGCCUCAGCUUUGAAUAAAAUGAAAGGUCAUCAGAACGGAAACCCCAAAUGUGGAUUUAACCAAAAUUUGUUUCUCCCCGGGGCUGGCUCAGCGGGGCUGUUCUGACGCCGGAGCCAUUCAGAGGCUGACUUGGUUGAAUUCUCUCCACCGCACCCUUGGGAGGGGAUCAGGGAGCCCUGCCAGUGUUUUCCUGAAGAAAUGUGACAGACAAGACAGAAUUCUGCUUUCUUCCGGGGUUUCCGUUUUCCGUGUUCGCGGACUCACACACACACCAGAUGGACCUGGCCUUGCCGUCUACACGUGAGCCGACACCUGGAGCGGGCGCCCGGCCGGCAUUGGUGCGGGUACCAGCUCCGUCCGCAGCCCAGCGAGGACCCAACAUGCCGCUUUCCUUGGCGGCUGCGGAUCCCCGGCCCGGGUGGAUGAACCAGCCUUUGACCUGCAAAGCCAGCUCCCCGGUUUGACCUGCGCAGUCCCCUUUAACAUGCUUAAAAGCGCCAUAAAACCCAGGACCUGGCUGCUAGGAUCCCCAAACGAUAACUCGGAGGCCCCCAUCCCUCAGGGUCAUCGUACCCACCUGGCUGGCAAGAUGCUUAGCAGAGAAACAAGUUGAAACACUCUGUAUGGGCAGACCUUGCAAAAUGUGCUCAAUGAGAAUAAAAUACAUAAGAUGGUAUGAACCACUUGGGAAAGCCCCUGACACACAGUCAGCAUUCAUAUAAAACAUCAGUUAUUACUCUGAUCAUAACUGCUAUCACCUACUUUGCCCAGGAAAUGUGCUAGAAACUGAGAUAAAUUUACACUGUAGUCUCUUACCACAAAAAGCCUUUCAUUUCCUAAUUAAAAAAUAGUUUAGGGGCUUCCCUGGUGGCGCAGUGGUUGAGAGUCCGCCUGCCGAUGCAGGGGACACAGGUUCCUGCCCCGGUCCGGGAAGAUCCCACAUGCCGCGGAGCGGCUGGGCCCGUGA